CCUACGGGUGGCUGCAGUAGGGAAUUUUCGGCAAUGGGGGGAACCCUGACCGAGCAAAGCCGCGUGAACGAAGAAGUUAUUCGUAAUGUAAAGUUCUUUUAACAGGGAAGCAAGAGAAAUUUGACGGUACCUGAAGAAUAAGAUCCGGCUAACUACGUGCCAGCAGCCGCUGUAAUACGUAGGGAGCGAGCGUUAUCCGGAAUUAUUGGGCGUAAAGGGUGCGUAGAUGGCAUAGUAAGUCUGUUGUAAAAAGGCUGGGCUCAAACCAGUAGGGCAAAAGAGACUGGAAAGCUAGAGUAUGCCAGAGGUAAGUGGAACGACAGGCGUAGCGGUAAAAUGCGUAAAUAU
rnacentral:rRNA from 1 species